GGGUGGUGGGCCUACCAUGGCAUUCCGGAGGACUGAGGGUAUGUCCAUGAUCCAGGCUCUGGCCAUGACUGUGGCUGAGAUUCCAGUGUUCCUGUA
ensembl:miRNA predicted gene, 47292